GUGCUCACUUUGGGAGCAUAUAUACUAAAACUGGAAAGAUGCAAAGAAUAGCACAGCCUGUGGACAAUGAUGAAACACAAAUUUGUGCAGGAUUAUGUAUUUUU
rfam:Canis lupus familiaris chromosome 7, whole genome shotgun sequence.